AGUGAACGCUGGCGGUAGGCCUAACACAUGCAAGUCGAACGGCAGCACAGUAAGAGCUUGCUCUUACGGGUGGCGAGUGGCGGACGGGUGAGGAAUACAUCGGACUCUACUUUUUCGUGGGGGAUAACGUAGGGAAACUUACUCUAAUACCGCAUACGACCUACGGUUGAAAGCAGGGGAUCUUCGGACCUUGCGCGAUUGAAUGAGCCGAUGUCGGAUUAGCUAGUUGGCGGGGUAAAGGCCCACCAAGGCGACGAUCCGUAGCUGGUCUGAGAGGAUGAUCAGCCACACUGGAACUGAGACACGGUCCAGACUCCUACGGGAGGCAGCAGUGGGGAAUAUUGGACAAUGGGCGCAAGCCUGAUCCAGCCAUACCGCGUGGGUGAAGAAGGCCUUCGGGUUGUAAAGCCCUUUUGUUGGGAAAGAAAAGCAGCAGGUUAAUACCCCGCUGUUCUGACGGUACCCAAAAAAUAAGCACCGGCUAACUUCGUG
rnacentral:rRNA from 1 species